GAAAUGCGAUACGUAGUGUGAAUUGCAGAAUUCAGUGAAUCAUCGAAUCUUUGAACGCACAUUGCGCCCUUUGGUAUUCCAAAGGGCAUGCCUGUUCGAGCGUCAUUUGUACCUUCAAGCUUUGCUUGGUGUUGGGCGUUUUUUGUCUCCCUCUUUCUGGGAGACUCGCCUUAAAACGAUUGGCAGCCGGCCUACUGGUUUCGGAGCGCAGCACAUAUUUUGCGCUUUGUAUCAGGAGAAAAGGACGGUAAUCCAUCAAGACUCUACAUUUUUAACUUUUGACCUCGGAUCAGGUAGGGAUACCCGCUGAACUUAA
rnacentral:misc_RNA from 1 species